rnacentral:rRNA from 1 species
UAAUACGAGGGUGUCAAACGUUGUCCGGAAUUAUUGGGCGUAAAGGGCGCGUAGGCGGCCAAGUAAGUCAGAUGUGAAAUCGCUGGGCUCAACCCAGCAAUUGCAUUUGAAACUGCUAGGCUAGAGAUCGGUAGAGGAGGGCGGAAUUCCUGGUGUAGCGGUGAAAUGCGUUGAUAUCAGGAGGAACACCCGUGGCGAAGGCGGCUCUCUGGACCGAUUCUGACGCUGAGGCGCGAAAGCUAGGGGAGCAAACAGGAUUAGAUACCCUGGUAGUCCUAGCUGUAAACGAUGAGUACUAGGUGUUGGAGGUAUUGACCCCUUCAGUGCCGUAGCUAACGCAAUAAGUACUCCGCCUGGGAACUACGGUCGCAAGACUG